GCAUAAUAACAUUGAUUUGAGAGUGAUUUCGAAGUUUUGAACAAGAAAUAAUUAUCUUGUAAUAUACAAUGAGAUGAAGCUCAAAAGGAAGAGACAUACGGAAGUCAAAGUGAUAUUUGGUAAAAUGUUUAUCUCGUUGAUGAGACACUUUUAAAAUGGUACAUGUAUAAAGCCAAAGACAAUGCACCCACAAUAUGUUGUUACAUUAGAAUAUAGCCAUCAAGGUCGCUUCUCCUAACACUUUUAAAAUGGUACAUGUAUAAAGCCAAAGACAAUGCACCCACAAUAUGUUGUUACAUUAGAAUAUAGCCAUCAAGGUCGCUUCUCCUAACACAUGUCCUUCAAUGGUAUCUUCCAACAACUUCUCCUUCGUCA
rnacentral:lncRNA from 1 species